AAUUUAUAAUUCAUAUUCAAUUUUUAUAGAAUUUUUUUUCCAUAUCACAUAUAUGUUUGAUUCUUCUAAUCAAUAUAUAUCAUAUAUGAAUAUAUAUACAUAACUAACCCAGUGAUGGUAUCUUAGUGGUAAUUUCUUGGGGUUUGGUGUGUAUCCACAUUAAUACUGAGUUUGAUUCCCACUUGGAACUAAAUUAUCAUUACUUGGUGAAAACUGUCGCGACUAUGUCAUGAUCAACCACAUCAAAACACUAAUCUUCUUCGACAUGCGUCGAGCGGGAGUGAGUUGGUACUACCACGUCGGAUGUGUCGGCGUCCACUUCCUUUGUCAUGACCAUCAGCAGAAUCAACCGCUGGUUUAUGACACUUGUUGUUGUCGUAGUGGGAGAA